ensembl:lncRNA
UUUAAGGCCACUUUGGGGCCAUUUUGGGGCAGUUUGGGGCCAUUUGGGGGCAGUUUGGGUCACUUUGAGGCCACUUUGGGGCCAUUUGAGGGCAUUUUAGGCCACUUUGGGGCCAUUUUGGGGCAGUUUGGGGCCAUUUGGGAGCAGUUUGGGUCACUUUAAGGCCACUUUGGGGCCAUUUUGGGUCACUUUAAGGUCUCUCUGGGGCCAUUUUGGGUCAAUUUAGGACCAUUUUGGGGCAUUUGGGGUCCGUUUAGGGCCACUUUGGGGCCAUUUGGGGGCAUUUUGUGUCACUUUAAGGCCACUUCAAGGCCACUUCAGGGCCAUUUAGGGGCAGUUUGGGGCCAUUUGGGGCAUUUUGGGUCAGUUUAAGGCCACUUUGGGGCCAUUUUGGGGCAGUUUGGUUCACUUUAAGGCCAUUUUGGGCCACUUUGGGGCCAUUUUGGGGCAGUUUGGGUCACUUUGAGGCCACUUUGGGGCCAUUUAAGGGCAUUUUGGGCCACUCUGGGGCCAUUUGGGGGCAGUUUGGGUCACUUUAAGGCCACUUUGGGGCCAUUUGAGGGCAUUUUGGGCCACUUCGGGGCCAUUUUGGAGCAGUUUGGGUCCAUUUUGGAGCAGUUUGGGGCCAUUUGGGAGCAGUUUGGGUCACUUUAAGGCCACUUUGGGGCCAUUUUGGGGCAGUUUGGGUCACUUUAAGGCCACUUUGGGGCCAUUUUGGGGCAGUUUGGGGCCAUUUGGGGGCAGUUUGGGUCACUUUAAGGCCACUUUGGGGCCAUUUGAGGGCAGUUUGGGGCAGUUUGGAACCAUUUUGGGGCAUUUUGGGUCAGUUUUGGGCCACUUUGGGGCCAUUUGAGGGCAUUUUGGGCCACUUUGGGGCCAUUUGAGGGCACUUUAGGUCAGUUUUAGGCCACUUUGGGGCCAUUUUGGGGCAGUUUGGGGCCAUUUGGGGGCAGUUUGGGUCACCUUAAGGCCACUUUGGGGCCAUUUUGGGUCACUUUGGGGCCAUUUUGGAGCAGUUUGGGUCACUUUAAGGCCACUUUGGAGCCAUUUUGGGUCACUUUGGGACCUUUUUGGGGCAUUUUGAGUUAGUUUUGGGCCACUUUGGGGCCAUUUGAGGGCAUUUUGGGCCACUUUGGGGCCAUUUUGGGUCACUUUAAGGCCACUUUGGGGCCAUUUUGGGCCACUUUGGGGCCAUUUUGGGGCAGUUUGGGUCACUUUAAGGCCACUUUGAGGCCAUUUGAGGGCAUUUUGGGGCCGUUCGGGGCUGUCGGGGUCCCCCCGGGGUCCCGCCUCACCUCGUCCCAGCGGAUGAAUUUGCUGCCCUGCACCAACAUGGCGGGGACCCGCGGCGGCUCCAACGGGAGCGGAACCGGGACCGGGCGCGGCGCCGCCAUGACUGCACCGGGGCGGGAGGGGUAGGGGGGGCGGGGCUACAGGGGAGAGCCGAGCGGCGAUUGGUGGGAGGGUGGGAAAGGGGGAGGGGCCGGAGGAGAGAGACGCGCGGCGAUUGGUGGAAAGAGGGAAAGGGGCGGGGUGAGGGGAGGCGCGCAUGCGCGGAUGCGCCCAGGGGGAGCGGAGUGGGCGUGGCUUGCU